GAUGAACGCUGGCGGCGUGCCUAAUACAUGCAAGUCGAGCGAACGGACGAGAAGCUUGCUUCUCUGAUGUUAGCGGCGGACGGGUGAGUAACACGUGGAUAACCUACCUAUAAGACUGGGAUAACUUCGGGAAACCGGAGCUAAUACCGGAUAAUAUUUUGAACCGCAUGGUUCAAAAGUGAAAGACGGUCUUGCUGUCACUUAUAGAUGGAUCCGCGCUGCAUUAGCUAGUUGGUAAGGUAACGGCUUACCAAGGCAACGAUGCAUAGCCGACCUGAGAGGGUGAUCGGCCACACUGGAACUGAGACACGGUCCAGACUCCUACGGGAGGCAGCAGUAGGGAAUCUUCCGCAAUGGGCGAAAGCCUGACGGAGCAACGCCGCGUGAGUGAUGAAGGUCUUCGGAUCGUAAAACUCUGUUAUUAGGGAAGAACAUAUGUGUAAGUAACUGUGCACAUCUUGACGGUACCUAAUCAGAAAGCCACGGCUAACUACGUGCCAGCAGCCGCGGUAAUACGUAGGUGGCAAGCGUUAUCCGGAAUUAUUGGGCGUAAAGCGCGCGUAGGCGGUUUUUUAAGUCUGAUGUGAAAGCCCACGGCUCAACCGUGGAGGGUCAUUGGAAACUGGAAAACUUGAGUGCAGAAGAGGAAAGUGGAAUUCCAUGUGUAGCGGUGAAAUGCGCAGAGAUAUGGAGGAACACCAGUGGCGAAGGCGACUUUCUGGUCUGUAACUGACGCUGAUGUGCGAAAGCGUGGGGAUCAAACAGGAUUAGAUACCCUGGUAGUCCACGCCGUAAACGAUGAGUGCUAAGUGUUAGGGGGUUUCCGCCCCUUAGUGCUGCAGCUAACGCAUUAAGCACUCCGCCAGGGGAGUACGACCGCAAGGUUGAAACUCAAAGGAAUUGACGGGGACCCGCACAAGCGGUGGAGCAUGUGGUUUAAUUCGAAGCAACGCGAAGAACCUUACCAAAUCUUGACAUCCUUUGACAACUCUAGAGAUAGAGCCUUCCCCUUCGGGGGACAAAGUGACAGGUGGUGCAUGGUUGUCGUCAGCUCGUGUCGUGAGAUGUUGGGUUAAGUCCCGCAACGAGCGCAACCCUUAAGCUUAGUUGCCAUCAUUAAGUUGGGCACUCUAAGUUGACUGCCGGUGACAAACCGGAGGAAGGUGGGGAUGACGUCAAAUCAUCAUGCCCCUUAUGAUUUGGGCUACACACGUGCUACAAUGGACAAUACAAAGGGCAGCGAAACCGCGAGGUCAAGCAAAUCCCAUAAAGUUGUUCUCAGUUCGGAUUGUAGUCUGCAACUCGACUACAUGAAGCUGGAAUCGCUAGUAAUCGUAGAUCAGCAUGCUACGGUGAAUACGUUCCCGGGUCU
rnacentral:rRNA from 1 species